AUUAUUCGCAAGAUCCAAUAUAUCAAUAUAAUCUAAACGUCCACUGAUAAAUAAAGAAAAUGUGGUAUAUCUUAAAACUAUUACAAAAAAUCGAAGAGGAGGACUUUCUCCCUUACUCAUUCUACAAGGUCAGUAUUAUUUUGAUACCAAAACCAGACAAAGACACAAAAAGAAAAGAAAACUACAGUCCAAUAUCCCUGAUGAGCAUAGACACAAAAAUCUUCAGCAAAAUACUGGCAAACCAAAUCCAACAGCACAUCAAAAAACGUAAUACAAUAUGAUCAGUUGAUAUUUACCCCAGGGAUUUAAGGGGUAUUUACCCCAGGGAUUUAAGUUGAUAUUUAUACCAGGGAUUCAAUAUGUAUAAAUCAAUAAAUGUGAUACAUCAUGUCAACAGAAUCAAGGACAAAACCCAUAUGACCAUUUCAACAGACACAGAAAAAUCA
rnacentral:lncRNA from 1 species